rnacentral:tRNA from 3 species
GGAACUGUACUUUAUGUAGAAGAUUUGGUUUGCAAUUAAACAGAGGAAUAUUAUUCCCAGUACCA